GACGAACGCUGGCGGCGCGCUUAACUCAGGCAAGUCGAACGGCACGGUCCUUCUUUUGUGGCGUGCUCGAGUGGCGAACGGGUGAGUAACUCGUGAGUAACCUGCCCUUGACUUUUGGAUAACUUCCCGACACUGGGGGUAAUACCGGAUAGGUGCUCCUGAUGCAUGGCGGGCGUUGGAAAGUGUCGGCCGUUGGGCACGGACUCGCGGCUCAUCAGCUUGUUGGUGGGAACGUGGCUUACCAAGGCCUCGACGGGUAGCCGGCCUGAGCGGUUGAACGGCCACGUUGGGACGGCGAAGGGGCCCAGACUCCUACGCGAGGCAGCAGUGGGGAAUGUUGCAAGAUGGGCGGAAGCCUGAUGCAGCAACGCCGCGUGCGGGAUGACGGCCUGCGGGUUGUAGACCGCUUUCGCCUGUGACGAAGCGUGAGUGACGGUAAUGGGUAAAGAAGCACCGGCUAACUACGUG
rnacentral:rRNA from 1 species